GUCCAACUAUACUUUAACCAUGCAAAUAAUAAAAGCUUUACCACAGAGUAAAAAGAUCUAUUGUAUUAAUACCUUAUUGUUUUAUGUACACUAACGUUCACCUUUUGUUAGGAGAAGCAGACACAAUCCUCUCUGAAAUUUUGAGUGUGUCCCAAGAAGAAUGAUCAGAGAGUAGAAAAGACAUUCUUUACUAUACUUAUACCAUAAAAAUAAUAAAAGCUUUACCACA
rnacentral:misc_RNA from 1 species